rnacentral:rRNA from 1 species
AACGAACGCUGGCGGCAUGCCUAACACAUGCAAGUCGAACAAAGCCUUCGGGCUUAGUGGCGCACGGGUGCGUAACGCGUGGGAAUCUGCCCCUUGCUUCGGAAUAACAGUUAGAAAUGACUGCUAAUACCGGAUGAAGUCUUCGGACCAAAGAUUUAUCGGCAAGGGAUGAGCCCGCGUAGGAUUAGGUAGUUGGUGGGGUAAAGGCCUACCAAGCCGACGAUCCUUAGCUGGUCUGAGAGGAUGAUCAGCCACACUGGGACUGAGACACGGCCCAGACUCCUACGGGAGGCAGCAGUGGGGAAUAUUGGACAAUGGACGCAAGUCUGAUCCAGCAAUGCCGCGUGAGUGAUGAAGGCCUUAGGGUUGUAAAGCUCUUUUACCAGGGAUGAUAAUGACAGUACCUGGAGAAUAAGCUCCGGCUAACUCCGUG